AGAGUUUGAUCAUGGCUCAGAUUGAACGCUGGCGGCAUGGCUAAAGCAUGCAAGUCGAACGCGAAACUGGCUUCGGCCAGGUGGACAGUGGCGAAAGGGCGAGUAAUGCGUUUCUAACGUGCCCAGAGGUCAGGGAUAGCCCAGGGAAACUUGGAAUAAUACCUGAUAACCCCGCGAAAUCGUAUGGUUUUGCGUGCAAAGGUUUACUGCCUCUGGAGCGGGGAACGUCCUAUCAGGUUGUUGGUGAGGUAAAGGCUCACCAAGCCUAAGACGGGUAGCGGGUGUGAGAGCAUGACCCGCCGCAUCGGGACUGAGACACUGCCCGGACUCCUACGGGAGGCUGCAGUAACGAAUAUUCCGCAAUGCACGAAAGUGUGACGGAGCAAUGCCGCGUGCAGGAUGAAGCCUCUAGGGGUGUAAACUGCUGUCAGGGUUUAGGAAUAUUUGAUCGGACCCAAAGGAAGGACCGGCUAACUUCGUGCCAGCAGCCGCGGUAAUACGAAGGGUCCGAGCGUUGCGCGGAAUCACUGGGCUUAAAGCGUGCGCAGGCGGAUCCGUAAGUACCUUGUGAAAUCCCAUGGCUCAACCAUGGAAUUGCUCGGUAAACUAUAGGUCUUGAGCCCGACAGAGGCGGUCGGAACGAUAGGUGGAGCGGUGAAAUGCGUAGAUAUCUAUCGGAACGCCAAAGGAGAAGUCAGGCCGCUGGGCCACCACUGACGCUCAUGUACGAAAGCGUGGGUAGCGAACGGGAUUAGAUACCCCGGUAGUCCACGCCCUAAACGAUGUGCACUAGACUCGGGAGGAUCUGACGCCCUCCGAGUCGCAGAGAAAUCAUUAAGUGCACCGCCUGGGGAGUACGGUCGCAAGGCUAAAACUCAAAGGAAUUGACGGGGGCUCACACAAGCGGUGGAGCAUGUGGCUUAAUUCGAAGCAACGCGAAGAACCUUAUCCAGGGUUUGACAUGUACGGAUUAGCUUUCAGAGACGAAAGUGACACCCUCGGGUGGAACGUACACAGGUGCUGCAUGGCUGUCGUCAGCUCGUGCUGUGAAGUGUCGGGUUAAGUCCCUUAACGAGCGAAACCCCUGCCGUUAGUUGCUAACAGAUAAUGCUGAGGACUCUAGCGGGACUGCCGGUGUCAAACCGGAGGAAGGUGGGGAUGACGUCAAGUCCUCAUGGCCUUUAUGCCCUGGGCUGCACACGUGCUACAAUGGCGUAUACAAAGCGACGCGAUACCGCAAGGUGGAGCAAAUCGCAAAAAGUACGCCUCAGUUCGGAUUGUGGUCUGCAACUCGACCACAUGAAGUUGGAAUCGCUAGUAAUCGCGUAUCAGCUAUGACGCGGUGAAUAUGUUCCUGAGCCUUGUACACACCGCCCGUCACGUCAUGGGAGCCGGGAGCACCCGAAGUGGUCACAACUCAGUGGUUCCUACGGUGAGCUCGGUGACUGGGACGAAGUCGUAACAAGGUAGCCGUA
rnacentral:rRNA from 1 species